rnacentral:lncRNA from 1 species
CCUGGCUCCCAGCCAGCCUGUCUUCUCUGCCUCCAGCCCCACCAAAGCCUGCAGCUCAGAGGCCUGCUGAGCCUGUGUGUAGAGGGAGGGAAGCUGGCUUUUACAUUCUCUAUACAUUUUUUUUUCUCUUUGGGCAAGCAGAAUCCCCCUGUCUUAGCUCCAAACUUCCUAGAAGAAGCUGAGGCAGAGGGAGCUGAGACUGGGGGUGAAUGAAUAUGGGAGGGGGGCCACACACAUCAGCACCUGAUCUGGAACUGCCAACAGGGAGCCUGGGGUGUAUUGGCCUUGAGGACAUGCUAUGGAAGGGAGGCCGUUGGAGGCUUGAACAUAGCAGGUGAGCUUCUACGAAGACCUGACCCAGAACCUGGAUUCUGUCUGGCCCCUCUGCUUCUCUGUCCCUGUCUCUGGAGGACAAAAAGCUGGCUAAAUACCAGCCACGGCUCCCAGGUUUGCAGAACCUUCAGGCCACCUCUAUCACCUCUCCACACCUGUCUAUGUCCAUUGCCACCCUUACCUGCUCAGCUCUACCGUGUGUUCCCUGUGUCUGGAACAGCUACCUAGUCUUUGGCUUGCUGACUCUUCUUGAGGCUCAGCUGUGAUGUCAGUUUCUCCCAGUGGCUUCCUAGGCUUGGUAACAGGCUAUCCAAGUCACCAAGUCAGUGCCAAGCUAAAGGAUGGAACAGCUGAUACACACACACACACACACACACACACACACACACACACACACACAUGGCCAGGCACCCGGUGCAUGACAGGCUGUAGCCAUGUAAAUAUUGACUUGAAUUCAAGCCUGAGUUCGUGACUGAAUGGACAUCUGUUCUUCCGUGUUGGGAGUCCCAUCCUGGGCAAGAUAAGGGGACAUUUGUCUCUGCUGCUGCUGUAGGGAAUGGAUCGUGCAAGGGCCCAAAAUAGUGACUCUCUUCCUGGAAAACGGCCAACGGGCAGACACUGUCAGGACGUGGGGUUCCCAGGAGGCCAGGACAGAGGACAUGGGCAUCAGGUGUGGCUGAUGAGCCCAGAGCUCUGAGGUCUCAUCCAAGUCUAUGAAGCUGGUGGCUCUCCUCCAAAGGACAGGUAGGCA